rnacentral:lncRNA from 1 species
CUCAGUUCCCUCAUUCAGGACUCAGCCACUGCUGCCCCAGACUGAUGAGGGGGCGCGGGCGGGAGACAGGCAGGGAGGCUGCCUUGACUGGCCGGGCAGGUAGGGACCCUUUCAAGCAGAUGCCCCUCCCAGCAGCCAGCCUGUCCUGCCCUUGGAUUGCAGAAGGUGAAGGUGCCUGGACUAUCGAGCUUGUGAUUAAGAAAAUAGAGAACAGCACUAUAGCUCCCAUCCUGUGAGCUCCAAGAGUGGUCAGAGGUGGAGACGUCUGUGAAACACCCAGUUCCUACCGUUCACCUGACCCUUCGCUAAUGCUGCGGAGCAUUUUGCCUGACUCUUUGGGUAAGGACUCAGAGGAGAUGGGCCAAACAGGUCCCACUGUUGGGGAGAAGAUUCCAAGCUAGGUCUC